AAAAUGAUUAUAACUGAAAAAGAGUGGGUCAGAUUCUGCAUUUCUUUAGUCAGAUUUUCCAUAUUGAUAGUUGGUGAUCCUUAAGGAUUCUUCAAGUCUAGAAGGGGUUUAAGGAUGGGUGAUCAUUUAUCCUAUAUCUCUUUGUCUUCGUGAUGAAAAUCCAAGCUUAACAUUCAAAAUGGUAGAGAGUUUGGGAUAGUUUAAGGGCCUAUGCAUUGGCAAGAAUGGAGAGGAAGAAAUUGUGCCUACGCUUUCUAUAUGCAUAUGAUACUUUACUUUUUUGUGAGGCAGAAAGAGACCAACUAUUGCAUUAAAGA
rnacentral:misc_RNA from 1 species